rnacentral:lncRNA from 1 species
GUGUUUUUAACCUUGAAUAAUUGUUGUCUCUAAAGCUCCAAACAAGUUUUAUCCUGUCCACAGGUCAGUUUUGUUACAAAGGCCAAUUAGUGGUGCUACCUUAGCCUGCAGCAAAAAGCCAAGUAAUGGUGGGGCAUGCCCCAUCCAGAGGUGAUGAAUAGCCUGUAGAGCUAUAAUUUGAGAAGGGGGGAGGGUGGCUUUGAAGCAUUUACCUUACAUGGAACUCCAUUGUCACUGUAGGCUGUUUGAUCUUUAAAUAAUUUACUUAAUGAUCUCACCAUGGGAGCAAUUGGCAGAGCAAGAUUAGGUUGUAAGGGCCUAAUGGACAUGGGAAAACUUAAAAUUACUAGAAGAGAGAGAAGCAUUUCCCUGGAGCUUUGCUGCUGCUGCUGCAAUACCAUUAGCAUUGGAGCCUGUCCCAGCACCUGCAGGAAGAAGAAAUCCACAGAAAAUGGAUUCAGCAAGCACCAAGUACCUUCACUGACAUACACCACUCUCCAGAAGUUCACCUCUUCUGUGGAGAGAUUCUUAUCCCAUUUUUGGGACAAUAUUUAGGGGUCAACCAAACUCCAGACAGCCUCCACCUGCCAGAAAGGACACAGUGGAAGUAGCUUUGGUGAUGCAAAUCACGUUAUUGCAGCAAUGAACAGAAGCCACAGCCUUAUCUUUCCUCAUCUCAGAUUUUGUUUGCAAGAUAAUACUGUUUUCUGUCUUGUAGACCAUUGGAGUAGUUGACACACUGUAUCAGUGUCACCAUAUUCAACUGUAGAGAAAAGCUGUGAUGUGCGGAAAAAAAAAAUAAUAAAAAAAAAAAGCCAUGAAAAGCCCUCA